GAUGAACGCUGGCGGCGUGCCUAACACAUGCAAGUCGAGCGGAGAAUUGUUGCUUGCAACAAUUCUUAGCGGCGGACGGGUGAGUAACACGUGGGUAACCUGCCCUAAACAAAGGGAUAACAAUGAGAAAUCAUUGCUAAUACCGUAUAAGCUUACACUAUCGCAUGAUAGAGUAAGAAAAGAUUUAUCGGUUUAGGAGGGGCCCGCGUCUGAUUAGCUAGUUGGAGAGGUAACGGCUCACCAAGGCGACGAUCAGUAGCCGACCUGAGAGGGUGAUCGGCCACAUUGGGACUGAGACACGGCCCAAACUCCUACGGGAGGAAGCAGUGGGGAAUAUUGCACAAUGGAGGAAACUCUGAUGCAGCAACGCCGCGUGAAGGAAGAAGGUUUUCGGAUCGUAAACUUCUAUCUACAGGGAAGAAAAAAAUGACGGUACCUGAGUAAGAAGCCCCGGCUAACUACGUG
rnacentral:rRNA from 1 species